rnacentral:rRNA from 1 species
UACGUAGGGGGCAAGCGUUGUCCGGAUUUAUUGGGCGUAAAGAGCUCGUAGGCGGCUGUUCAAGUCGAACGUGAAAACUCGGAGCUCAACUCCGAGCCUGCGUUCGAUACUGGACGGCUAGAGUCUGGUAGGGGGAUCUGGAAUUCCUGGUGUAGCGGUGGAAUGCGCAGAUAUCAGGAGGAACACCGAUGGCGAAGGCAGGUCUCUGGGCAUCUCCUGACGCUGAGGCGCGAAAGGCGUGGGGAGCAAACGGG